rfam:Sulfurimonas sp. GWF2_37_8 gwf2_scaffold_2485, whole genome shotgun sequence.
UCUUUAGACCUGUGCAAUGGUGACUCAAGACAAUGUGUCAGGGUAGGAAUACAGCAGCACACCUUGUUUUGCUAUGUGCCGCAGGUAUCUGGAGAGGA